GAUGAACGCUGGCGGCGUGCCUAAUACAUGCAAGUCGAGCGAACAGACGAGGAGCUUGCUCCUCUGACGUUAGCGGCGGACGGGUGAGUAACACGUGGAUAACCUACCUAUAAGACUGGGAUAACUUCGGGAAACCGGAGCUAAUACCGGAUAAUAUAUUGAACCGCAUGGUUCAAUAGUGAAAGACGGUUUUGCUGUCACUUAUAGAUGGAUCCGCGCCGCAUUAGCUAGUUGGUAAGGUAACGGCUUACCAAGGCAACGAUGCGUAGCCGACCUGAGAGGGUGAUCGGCCACAUUGGAACUGAGACAGGGUCCAGACUCCUACGGGAGGCAGCAGUAGGGAAUCUGACGCAAUGGGCGAAAGCCUGACGGAGCAACGCCGCGUGAGUGAUGAAGGUCUUCGGAUCGUAAAACUCUGUUAUUAGGGAAGAACAAAUGUGUAAGUAACUAUGCACGUCUUGACGGUACCUAAUCAGAAAGCCACGGCUAACUACGUG
rnacentral:rRNA from 1 species